rnacentral:rRNA from 1 species
CCUACGGGAGGCAGCAGUGGGGAAUAUUGCACAAUGGGCGCAAGCCUGAUGCAGCCAUACCGCGUGUGUGAAGAAGGCCUUAGGGUUGUAAAGCACUUUCAGCGAGGAGGAAGGCAUCACACUUAAUACGUGUGGUGAUUGACGUUACUCGCAGAAGAAGCACCGGCUAACUCCGUGCCAGCAGCCGCGGUAAUACGGAGGGUGCAAGCGUUAAUCGGAAUUACUGGGCGUAAAGCGCACGCAGGCGGUUUGUGAAGUCAGGUGUGAAAUCCGCGCGCUUAACGUGGGAACUGCAUUUGAAACUGGCAAGCUAGAGUGGUGUAGAGGGGGGUAGAAUUCCAGGUGUAGCGGUGAAAUGCGGAGAGAUCUGGAGGAAGACCGGUGGCGAAGGCGGCCCCGUGGACAAAGACUGACGCUCAGGUGCGAAAGCGUGGGGAGCAAACAGGAGGAGAUCCCGGGGAUC